UACGUAGGGUGCAAGCGUUGUCCGGAAUUAUUGGGCGUAAAGAGCUCGUAGGCGGUCUGUCGCGUCUGCUGUGAAAACUCGGGGCUUAACCCCGGGCCUGCAGUGGGUACGGGGCAGACUAGAGUGCGGUAGGGGGAGAUUGGAAUUCCUGGUGUAGCGGUGGAAUGCGCAGAUAUCAGGAGGAACACCAAUGGCGAAGGCAGAUCUCUGGGCCGUAACUGACGCUGAGGAGCGGAAAGCAUGGGGAGCGAACAGG
rnacentral:rRNA from 1 species